GAAUUAAUGUGAGUUAACAUGCAAAAUUUGGAAUCAGAAACAGGGCUCUCAGUUAGCAUAGUACCAGCAAAAUUAGCAGCAUACAUGGGAGGAGGAGAUUGGGCAGUGGAGUCCCCUAGCUGAGUUUGUUGGAGCAGGGUCAUCAAUUGUUCAUAAUGUUGUCUGCUCAACCCAAGUAUCACAGAACUUUGGCCAUCAAUGUGUGGAACGGGUUGAUGACUGUCAGGAGGAUUUCCAUGAGGAACAGACAUAUUUCUUUCAGAAGAAGAGAAAU
rnacentral:lncRNA from 1 species